rnacentral:rRNA from 1 species
GACGAACGCUGGCGGCGUGCUUAACACAUGCAAGUCGAACGAUGAAGCCGGAGCUUGCUCUGGUGAAUUAGUGGCGAACGGGUGAGUAACACGUGAGUAACCUGCCCUUGACUCUGGGAUAACUGCGGGAAACUGUAGCUAAUACCGGAUACGACCCUCGGAGGCAUCUCCUGGGGGUGGAAAGAAUUUCGGUCAAGGAUGGACUCGCGGCCUAUCAGCUAGUUGGUGAGGUAAAGGCUCACCAAGGCGACGACGGGUAGCCGGCCUGAGAGGGUGACCGGCCACACUGGGGCUGAGACACGGCCCAGACGCCUACGGGAGGCAGCAGUGGGGAAUAUUGCACAAUGGGCGCAAGCCUGAUGCAGCAACGCCGCGUGAGGGAUGACGGCCUUCGGGUUGUAAACCUCUUUUAGCAGGGAAGAAGCGAAAGUGACGGUACCUGCAGAAAAAGCACCGGCUAACUACGUGCCAGCAGCCGCAGUAA